CUUCAAGAUAAUUAUUUUCUAUUGAUUAAUUGUAGGCAAUCAAAAACGGGUGAGCGGAUCUGCUAGUUUCAACAGAAUGUGGGCGGAAUACAGAGAUGGAUUUGGAAACGCAAAUGACUCCUACUGGAUUGGAAAUGACGUAAUUCACCAGCUCACAAAGGAAAGAAACUCCGCCCUCUACGUCUCUAUAACAUUACGAGAUCGCAAGACUUUAUAUGAACUUUAUCAACAGUUCUCUGUGUCUGAUGAAUCAGACAAUUACAGACUUUUUCUGGAGGGCCAGCUACCGGAACUUUAGGUGACAAUAUGUUAGACACCAAUAUUUCUCGCGCUGUUCUGUCAGGGUUGCCAUUCUCCACCCACGACAGAGAUAACGACAUGUCUAGAAAUAACUGUGCUGUUAAAUGGGGAGGAGGUUGGUGGUUUAACUCCUGUCACCACGCCUUCCUUAACGGUCCGUGGUCUCUGGAGUUCUGGCGCAACCCAUGGUACCCUGAAACAAUGAGUGGAUCAUAUAUAAGGGAGACGAUGAUGUUAAUCAAGCAUUUUUAGAUGCUGAUUAAUAAAGAAAAGAAAUGAGUGGAUAAUUGAAGAGAAUAUUAGUAUUAGGAAUCAAAAAAGCAAUAGAUAAUUCAAUAGAAUACGGUUAUAACGUGUCAGUAACCUGUCAAAAAUCAUAAACAGACAUUUUUCGCCUUUAUUUAUAAAUGUAUAUGUAUUUAUGCUCUAUUUUGCUUAGUUUUAAUAAAUGUUUUUUGAAUAAUAUAGACAUCUUUGUAAAUGUGUAUCUUUCUGUGGUCCCUGCUGGACAAUAAUGCUGAAAUUUAGUAUCAUUAUAGUUGUGUAUGCAUGUAUUUAAAAUAAACUUAGAAUACAAAAAAAUUCUCUCUGAAACAUGAAGAAAACUUGACAGAUAUUUACAAUAAGAAAUGUUACAUUGUAAAACUUCU